GUAUAAGAGACAGCAGCCGCCACGGGAAUACCGAGGGUGCGAGCGUUAAUCGGAUUUACUGGGCGUAAAGCGUGCGUAGGCGGCUUCUUAAGUCGGAUGUGAAAUCCCUGAGCUUAACUUAGGAAUUGCAUUCGAUACUGGGAAGCUAGAGUAUGGGAGAGGAUGGUAGAAUUCCAGGUGUAGCGGUGAAAUGCGUAGAGAUCUGGAGGAAUACCGAUGGCGAAGGCAGCCAUCUGGCCUAAUACUGACGCUGAGGUACGAAAGCAUGGGGAGCAAACAGGAUUAGAUACCCCAGUAGUCCCUGUCUCUUAUAC
rnacentral:rRNA from 1 species